rnacentral:rRNA from 1 species
AGCAGAGAUGCUUUGGUGCCUUCGGGAACUGUGAGACAGGUGCUGCAUGGCUGUCGUCAGCUCGUGUUGUGAAAUGUUGGGUUAAGUCCCGCAACGAGCGCAACCCUUAUCCUUUGUUGCCAGCGGUUCGGCCGGGAACUCAAAGGAGACUGCCAGUGAUAAACUGGAGGAAGGUGGGGAUGACGUCAAGUCAUCAUGGCCCUUACGACCAGGGCUACACACGUGCUACAAUGGCAUAUACAAAGAGAAGCGACCUCGCGAGAGCAAGCGGACCUCAUAAAGUAUGUCGUAGUCCGGAUUGGAGUCUGCAACUCGACUCCAUGAAGUCGGAAUCGCUAGUAAUCGUAGAUCAGAAUGCUACGGUGAAUACGUUCCCGGGCCUUGUACACACCGCCCGUCACACCAUGGGAGUGGGUUGCAAAAGAAGUAGGUAGCUUAACCUUCGGGAGGGCGCUUACCACUUUGUGAUUCAUGACUGGGGUGAAGUCGUAACAAGGUAACCGUAGGGGAACCUGCGGUUGGAUCACCUCCUUACCUUAAAGAA